CCUACGGGAGGCAGCAGUGGGGAAUAUUGGGCAAUGGAGGAAACUCUGACCCAGCGACGCCGCGUGCGGGAUGAAGGCCUUCGGGUUGUAAACCGCUUUCAGUAGGGAAGAAGCGAAAGUGACGGUACCUACAAAAGAAGCACCGGCUAACUAUGUGCCAGCAGCCGCGGUAAUACAUAGGGUGCAAGCGUUGUCCGGAAUUAUUGGGCGUAAAGAGCUCGUAGGUCGUUUGUUACGUCGGAUGUGAAAACCUGAGGCUCAACCUCAGGCCUGCAUUCGAUACGGGCAAACUAGAGUUUGGUAGGGGAGACUGGAAUUCCUGGUGUAGCGGUGGAAUGCGCAGAUAUCAGGAGGAACACCAAUGGCGAAGGCAGGUCUCUGGGCCAAUACUGACACUGAGGAGCGAAAGUCUGGGGAGCGAACAGGAUUAGAUACCCUGGUAGUCCAGACCGUAAACGGUGGGCACUAGUUGUGGGAACCUUCCACGGUUUCUGCGACGCAGCUAACGCAUUAAGUGCCCCGCCUGGGGAGUACGAUCGCAAGAUUAAAACUCAAAGGAAUUGACGGCUGAGACGUGCGACGACGACGACGAGGGAGUAGG
rnacentral:rRNA from 1 species